UACGUAGGGGGCAAGCGUUGUCCGGAAUCAUUGGGCGUAAAGCGCGUGUAGGCGGCUUGGUAAGUCUGCUCUGAAAGCCCGGGGCUCAACCCUGGGAGGCGGGUGGAUACUGCCGAGCUCGAGUCCGGAAGAGGCGAGUGGAAUUCCUGGUGUAGCGGUGAAAUGCGCAGAUAUCGGGAAGAACACCAGUGGCGAAGGCGAACGUGCUGGGUUGCACCUGACGCUGAGAUGCGAAAGUGUGGGGAGCAAACGGGG
rnacentral:rRNA from 1 species